GACGAACGCUGGCGGCGUGCUUAACACAUGCAAGUCGAACGGAAAGGCCUUUUCGGAGGUACUCGAGUGGCGCACGGGUGCGUAACACGUGGGUGAUCUGCCCUGCACUCUGGGAUAAGCCUGGGAAACUGGGUCUAAUACCGGAUAGGACCGCACUUUAGUGUGUGUGGGGGAAAGUUUUUUCGGUGUAGGUUGAGCCCGCGGCCUAUCAGCUUGUUGGUGGGGUAAUGGACUACCAAGGCGACGACGGGUAGCCGGACCGAGAGGUUGGUCCGCCACCUUGGGACUGACAUACGGCCCAGACUCCGACGGGAGGAAGCAGUGGGGAAUAUUGCACGAGGGGCGCAAGCCUGAUGCAGCGGCGCCGCGGGGGGGAUGACGGCCUUCGUGUUGUAAACUCCCUGCGCCAGGGACGAAGCGUUUUGUGACGGUACCUGAUGAAGAAGCACCGGCUAACUACGUG
rnacentral:rRNA from 1 species